GACGAACGCUGGCGGCGUGCUUAACACAUGCAAGUCGAACGGAAAGGCCCUGCUUUUGUUGGGUGCUCGAGUGGCGAACGGGUGAGUAACACGUGAGUAACCUGCCCUUGACUUUGUGAUAACUUCAGGAAACUGGGGCUAAUACCGGAUAGGAUCUCCUGCUGCAUGGUGGGGGUUGGAAAGUUUCGGCGGUUGGGGAUGGACUGGCGGCUUAUCAGCUUGUUGGUGGGGUAGUGGCUUACCAAGGCUUUGACGGGGAGCCGGCAUGGGAGGGUGACCGGCCACAUUGGGACUGAGAUAGGGCCCAGACUCCUACGGGAGGCAGUAGUGGGGAAUAUUGCACAAUGGGCGGAAGCCUGAUGCAGCAACGCCGCGUGCGGGAUGACGGCCUUCGGGUUGUAAACCGCUUUCGCCUGUGACGAAGCGUGAGUGACGGUAAUGGGUAAAGAAGCACCGGCUAACUACGUG
rnacentral:rRNA from 1 species